rnacentral:miRNA from 1 species
AACACUUUUAAGAUCGGUCAUAAAAUAACCGAUCUUAAAAGUACUUUUAAGAUCGGUUAUUUUAUGACUGAUCUUAAAAGUGCU